AGUGAACGCUGGCGGUAGGCCUAACACAUGCAAGUCGAACGGCAGCACAGUAAGGGCUUGCUCUUACGGGUGGCGAGUGGCGGACGGGUGAGGAAUACAUCGGAAUCUACUUUUUCGUGGGGGAUAACGCAGGGAAACUUACGCGAAUACCGCAUACGACCUACUGGUGAAAGCAUGGGAGCUUCGGACCUUGCGCGAUUGAAUGAGCCGAUGUCGGAUUAGCUAGGUGGCGGGGUAAAGGCCCACCAAGGCGACGGUCCGUAGCUGGUCUGAGAGGAUGAUCAGCCACACUGGAACUGAGACACGGUCCAGACUCCUACGGGAGGCAGCAGUGGGGAAUAUUGGACGAUGGGCGCAAGACUGAUCCAGCAAUACCGCGUGGGUGAAGAAGGACUUCGGGUUGUAAAGCCAUUUUGUUGGGAAAGAAAAGCAGCAGGUUAAUACCCCGCUGUUCUGACGGUACCCAAAGAAUAAGCACCGGCUAACUUCGUG
rnacentral:rRNA from 1 species